rnacentral:rRNA from 1 species
GACGAACGCUGGCGGCGUGCUUAACACAUGCAAGUCGAACGGAAAGGCCUUUUCGGAGGUACUCGAGUGGCGAACGGGUGAGUAACACGUGGGUGAUCUGCCCUGCACUCUGGGAUAAGCCUGGGAAACUGGGUCUAAUACCGGAUAGGACCGCACUUUAGUGUGUGUGGUGGAAAGUUUUUUCGGUGUAGGAUGAGCCCGCGGCCUAUCAGCUUGUUGGUGGGGUAAUGGCCUACCAAGGCGGCGACGGGUAGCCGGACUGAGAGGUUGGUCGGCCACAUUGGGACUGAGAUACGGCCCAGACUCCUACGGGAGGCAGCAGUGGGGAAUAUUGCACAAUGGGCGCAAGCCUGAUGCAGCGACGCCGCGUGGGGGAUGACGGCCUUCGGGUUGUAAACUCCUUUCGCUAGGGACGAAGCGUUUUGUGACGGUACCUGGAGAAGAAGCACCGGCUAACUACGUG